UACGUAGGUGGCAAGCGUUAUCCGGAAUUAUUGGGCGUAAAGAGCUCGUAGGCGGUUUGUCGCGUCUGCCGUGAAAGUCCGGGGCUCAACUCCGGAUCUGCGGUGGGUACGGGCAGACUAGAGUGAUGUAGGGGAGACUGGAAUUCCUGGUGUAGCGGUGAAAUGCGCAGAUAUCAGGAGGAACACCGAUGGCGAAGGCAGGUCUCUGGGCAUUAACUGACGCUGAGGAGCGAAAGCAUGGGGAGCGAACAGG
rnacentral:rRNA from 1 species